UGUGCGUGCGUGCGUGUGUGUGUGUGUGUGUGUGUGCACAAGGCAUGCCACAUGCACACACCC
rnacentral:miRNA from 1 species